UGAAAAAGGUCACAUAUGGGACUUUUUAUUGUUGGCGCCAUUUGUUUUGUUUUUUUGCAACCGUUCUUCAAAGUGGUAGUAAUAGUAAAAUUAUGAAGGUUUUUUGCAAAGAGCAACCUUCAACGAAUAUGAAAUUUUCAAUUCAAGACACUUUUGUGUUUUUU
rnacentral:ribozyme from 16 species